rnacentral:rRNA from 1 species
CGAGUAGAGCCGAAAGGGGCCUGAUGGUACAAACCAGUUUGUCAUGAUACUUCUACUAAGUGAGUUUUGUAGUCUCGUAGUAGUCGAUAAUUUGUGGCAAAUUGGCUAGAGUUUCCGCAGGCCUUAACCACGAACAAUGUUGCUGUCAAAGCACUACCAUCGGUUUAAGGUAGCGUAACGUUAUUGUUACGUGAUGUGGACUGAUGUGGUUGUCUUUGCGAUAUUGUGUGAAUGUGUACGAUACUAUGCUGCCUUUUAGUUGGCAAUAUAUGCUGGGGCUGUGUGUCUCGGCUGUGUCAGACUGAUUCUUCAGAUUGUCACAGUUUGGGAUGUGCACCCUCAGCCGCUAUGUUUAGUGUCGCUAUUCUGUGGUUCAUAAAGUAGGUAGUCUACUCGACCCGUCUUGAAACACGGACCAAGAAGUUCAAGUUAUGCGCGAGUCAAUGAGUCGUACGAAACUCAAAGGCGUAGUGAAAGUAAAGGCCUCGUUAUUGAGGUUGAGGUGAGAUCCUUGCUUUUGCCCCUUUCUUGGGGCGAGUGAGGCGCAUCACCGGCUCGCUCUUAACUAUUUUAGUGGAGCGAAGCUAGAGCGCAUAGCCUGAGACCCGAAAGAUGGUGAUCUAUACUUGUGUAGGCUGAAGCCAGAAGAAAUUCUGGUGGAAGGCCGUAGCGAUUCUGACGUGCAAAUCGAUCGUCAAACAUGAGUAUAGGGGCGAAAGACUUAUCGAACCAUCUAGUAGCUGGUUCCUCCUGAAGUUUCCCUCAGGAUAGCUAGCCUUAUAAAGGUGUUUUAUCCGGUAAAGCAAAUGAUUAGAAGUACCGGGAGGAGUAUUUUUCUCAACUUAUUCUCAAACUUUAAAUGGGUAAGGGCUUCACUCGCUUUAUUUGGAGUGGAGCAUUAAAACCUUAAGGCUAAGUGGGCCAUUUUUGGUAAGCAGAACUGGCGCUGUGGGAUGAACCAAACGCCAAGUUUAGGUGCCUAAAGAAAAGCUUAUGUGACACCACAAAAGGCGUUAGUUGAUCUAGACAGUUAGACGGUGGCCACGGAAGUUGGAAUCCGCUAAGGAGUGUGUAACAACUCACUAACCGAAUCAACUAGCCCUGAAAAUGGAUGGCGCUGUAGCUUUUUACCUAUACUUGGCUGUAGUGGUACAGUCGGCUUUUUUCCUAUGUACAUCACUACAAGUAAGGAGGUGACGUGGUAGCAUUGAAGCUGCGGUUGUAAAACCGGGUGGAGCUGCCACGUGUAC